AUCAAGAGCUUCAGCUGAACAGACUUAGUGGAUUCAUCCCACUUAACUUUAGCACUACAGAGAACUGCACUUUAGCAUCUGUAAGUUAUAGAUUACUGUUACAUGCAGGAAAGGAUGCAGACGAAGGAUGGCACAGAAGCUUGGUGUGCUCUGCUCUGCAGUUCUGGACACAAAAUGCCUACUCCCUCUCUUCCCCAGAUAAAUCAAGAAAAAGUAAGCUUACUGGAAGAGGUCUGCAUUAAAAGUGAAAAAUAAAAGGCUGCAUUAGAAAUAAACAGAAAUGACAUAAGAUCUUUGCCAAAACAUUCAGCAACUCUGGAAGGUCAUUUAACAACUCCUCUCAGUCAGUUUUUGAUAUUAUUAUCUUCACUAUUCUGUAGCUUUAGCAAACUUUUCAUAUUACUGUGGAAAUAGUUAACUAACCUGUCAUGGAGUAUGGGAGAAAAUCCAUAUAUAACAUAUAGGUAAACAUCAUUCAUUUCUAUCCUUUGUUUCAGACAUUUAAUCUGCAGAAAGAUCUCCCAUACUCCUCGACAGGUUAGUCUCUUAAGAUUGUUUAGGGCAAGAUCUCUACAAAAACCUUUUGGGAAUCCCCAUAUAAUGCAUUUAUGUCUGAACUGCGAGACUUUAUAUACUUCUAGACAUGAGAGUAUAUUCCAGAAGCACCCUGACUCCUUGCUGGGAUGAAACUCAGGUGAGUACAUACAGAAGUACCUUGACUCUGAAUGAAACCUAAGUGACUACCAUCCUGUUUCCUCUCCCUGAAUUGUAUUUUAGAGUUGAAGAGAAACUCAGAUGUGUGUACUGGAAAUGAACUGUGCCAUGCUUUGCCCAGGUUUUUGGUCUUGAUGUCUGGGGAGCAGAGAGACAUCCUGGGCAUACUGUGGCACACGCAGGUAUUGCAGAUUGCAUGUGUAUCGACUACAUCACCUUUAUCUAAAUAUUUGUUAAAUGAUUGCAAAUUCUAAACGCUUUGUAACACAUAUGUUUUACUCAUAAGAAAAGACAGUGGGACUAAGUCAACAGACAGAAUCUAGCAACUGAGACUACAACUCAGAAUCUCCACAGUGCUUGACAGAUACCAUCACCUAUGUUUCUCAAGAUUACACACACUAAAAAACAAACAAACAAAAAAAACAACACUCAAAAUCAAACUAAACUCAACCAUUUUUCCCAUGGUUUAAAGCUCAGGAAAGAGAAAAUGUAGUUUAUGGUUGUAACACUA